CCUAGGGGGCAGCAGUGGGGAAUAUUGGACAAUGGGCGAAAGCCUGAUCCAGCCAUGCCGCGUGUGUGAAGAAGGCCUUCGGGUUGUAAAGCACUUUCAGUGGGGAAGAAAGCCUUGGGGCUAAUACCCUCGAGGAAGGACAUCACCCACAGAAGAAGCACCGGCUAACUCCGUGCCAGCAGCCGCGGUAAUACGGAGGGUGCGAGCGUUAAUCGGAAUUACUGGGCGUAAAGCGCGCGUAGGCGGUCUGAUAAGCCGGUUGUGAAAGCCCCGGGCUCAACCUGGGAACGGCAUCCGGAACUGUCAGGCUAGAGUGCAGGAGAGGAAGGUAGAAUUCCCGGUGUAGCGGUGAAAUGCGUAGAGAUCGGGAGGAAUACCAGUGGCGAAGGCGGCCUUCUGGACUGACACUGACGCUGAGGUGCGAAAGCGUGGGUAGCAAACAGGAUUAGAUACCCCAGUAGUC
rnacentral:rRNA from 1 species